rnacentral:rRNA from 1 species
GUAGGGUGCGAGCGUUAAUCGGAAUUACUGGGCGUAAAGCGUGCGCAGGCGGUUUUGUAAGACAGGCGUGAAAUCCCCGGGCUCAACCUGGGAACUGCGUUUGUGACUGCAAGGCUAGAGUAUGGCAGAGGGGGGUGGAAUUCCACGUGUAGCAGUGAAAUGCGUAGAGAUGUGGAGGAACACCGAUGGCGAAGGCAGCCCCCUGGGCCAAUACUGACGCUCAUGCACGAAAGCGUGGGUAGCAAACAGGAUUAGAUACCCUGGUAGUCCACGCCCUAAACGAUGUCAACUAGGUGUUGGGUGGGUAAAACCAUUUAGUACCGGAGCUAACGCGUGAAGUUGACCGCCUGGGGAGUACGGCCGCAAGGUUA